CCUACGGGAGGCAGCAGUGAGGAAUAUUGGACAAUGGGCGCAAGCCUGAUCCAGCCAUGCCGCGUGCAGGAAGAAGCAUCUAUGGUGUGUAAACUGCUUUUGUACAGGAAGAAACACUCCCUCGUGAGGGAGCUUGACGGUACUGUAAGAAUAAGGACCGGCUAACUCCGUGCCAGCAGCCGCGGUAAUACGGAGGGUCCGAGCGUUAUCCGGAAUCAUUGGGUUUAAAGGGUCCGUAGGCGGUUUAAUAAGUCAGUGGUGAAAUCUGGUCGCUCAACGAUCAAACGGCCAUUGAUACUGUUAGACUUGAAUUAUAAGGAAGUAACUAGAAUAUGUAGUGUAGCGGUGAAAUGCUUAGAUAUUACAUGGAAUACCAAUUGCGAAGGCAGGUUACUACUUAUGGAUUGACGCUGAUGGACGAAAGCGUGGGGAGCGAACAGGAUUAGAUACCCUGGUAGUCCACGCCGUAAACGAUGGAUACUAGCUGUUACGGAGCAAUCUGAGUGGCUAAGCGAAAGUGAUAAGUAUCCCACCUGGGGAGUACGUUCGCAAGAAUGAAACUCAAAGGAAUUGACGG
rnacentral:rRNA from 1 species